CCUACGGGUGGCAGCAGUGAGGAAUAUUGGUCAAUGGGCGGAAGCCUGAACCAGCCAAGUCGCGUGAGGGAAUAAGGCCCUACGGGUCGUAAACCUCUUUUGCCGGGGAGCAAGGGCGGGGACGUGUCCCGGCCCGGAGAGUACCCGGAGAAAAAGCAUCGGCUAACUCCGUGCCAGCAGCCGCGGUAAUACGGGGGAUGCGAGCGUUAUCCGGCUUUAUUGGGUUAAAGGGGUGCGUAGGCGGGCUGUUAAGUCAGCGGUAAAAAUUGGGGGCGCAACCCCGUCCGGCCGUUGAAAUUGGGGGCCUGGAGUGGGCGAGAAGAAGGCGGAAUGCGUGGUGUAGCGGUGAAAUGCAUAGAUAUCACGCAGAACCCCGAUUGCGAAGGCAGCCUGCCGGCGCCCUACUGACGCUGAGGCACGAAAGUGCGGGGAUCGAACAGGAUUAGAUACCCGUGUAGUC
rnacentral:rRNA from 1 species